rnacentral:rRNA from 1 species
CCUACGGGAGGCAGCAGUGAGGAAUAUUGGUCAAUGGGCGAGAGCCUGAACCAGCCAAGUCGCGUGAAGGAUGAAGGUUCUAUGGAUUGUAAACUUCUUUUGUCCGAGGGUAAAAAAGGCCACGUGUGGCUUCUUGCAAGUAUCGGACGAAUAAGCAUCGGCUAACUCCGUGCCAGCAGCCGCGGUAAU